GACGAACGCUGGCGGCGUGCUUAACACAUGCAAGUCGAACGGAGUUCCUCGGAAAGAGAUUUCGGUCAAUGGAAGAGGACACUUAGUGGCGGACGGGUGAGUAACGCGUGAGGAACCUGCCUCUCAGAGGGGGACAACAGUUGGAAACGACUGCUAAUACCGCAUAAUAUAUCUGUAUCGCAUGGUAUGGAUAUCAAAGAUUUAUCGCUGAGAGAUGGCCUCGCGUCUGAGUAGCUAGUUGGUAGGGUAACGGCCUACCAAGGCGACGAUCAGUAGCCGGACUGAGAGGUUGGCCGGCCACAUUGGGACUGAGAUACGGCCCAG
rnacentral:rRNA from 1 species